CCGCCGAACAAACGAAACGGCAGCUUCGCGUACUAACGCUCGACUGUGCGCUUACUUCGCAAGGAAUCUACUCAUCCCUCGUGAGGCGCUUGCGCACGAUUGCUGCGACAUCUUAUGGCACUUAGACGUCAUUACUCUGUCGAUUUCGAUGAAGUCAGACCUACCGAAAGUUACGGAGCACUCGGUCGAAAUAACUUUGGAUAAAAAAUAAGCCGAGCUGCCGGAUUGUAAAGAAGCUUGUAUCAAACGAGAGGGUUAUUUUUACACGUGAGAGGAGAGGGUGGAAUCGUCGCUAGUCGCCUGCCGUCGAACCUUUUCGGGUUACGCAUAGCCGAGUUUCGUUACUCCAUUCGGAUCGGUGUCUUGUUACGUUCGAAAGAAAAUUUUCCUCCCUACCAUAGUCUACUAUUGCUACGAUUUCUGACACUUGAUCUGGAAAUUUUUUGCACAAUCCACAUACAUUACGAAUGAAGAUUGUUCUACAUCUCUUUUGGAGCAAAUAAGAAAUUUGUAAAAGAAUACGACCUAGAUCAUGAAAUAGAAAUUGAAUAUUUUUAUAAAUUUAUUCGAUUAAAAUAAAACACACAAAUAUAACGAGUUGUGGCGCCAAUGAUUUUCGACCUAUCAUUGUCAACCAAUGAAUCGUGGAUGAUUCUAGGAUCGCACUGUUGCUCUGCCGAUUUCAUCGACCCUGUGCACAGAAUAUUAAAAAAAAAGAUAAUAUAGAGCAACGCGUGCAUUCGUUCUUUCGAGAAUUCGUUAUCAGUGAGCGUCCGGAACAACAUCGUGACCGCGAUCUGCUAUCUCGUAGCUAGAAAUUCCUGUCUACUCCCGGUACACCAAGGAGAUCGGUAGUCUGGAACAAUGUUGUCACAGCGGUUACGCGUGAAUACUUGAAAUUUUUUAUGAGUCACACGCACAUAUUUCUGAUAUCACCGUGGCUGCACGAUGGGUGACACCAAGUCGCGGGCCACCACGUUGCGAAACGAGCGCCGAAAUUUGCAUAAUAACCGAUCGUUUUUCAAACUUGCCUUCGUGGAAUGCGGGCGUAUUUCGAUAUACGUUCCAGUUACGACAAUUUAACGAUCAACUUAAUGUGUCUACCAAUCAAAAAAGAGACGAAAGGCUCAAGACAAGCCAAGUUUCAUUUAUCACUUGGUUCAACUGUAAAAACGAAAUCUCUCACGAUCUACGAGAUCACCCGCCUCUAUUCGAAUUCUUCCUUGGUCCCUCUUCACUUUUGUGUAUCCAUACACAUCACUUUCCUCGUUCACACAAAGCGCACACACACACACACCAUAUACACGAUUUUAGAGGGAACUAGAGUCACGAUCGUGCGGAUCCAGGAAAGGUCCUGAAAGAAACGCGAGGUCGAAAGGCGAAAACUCGUUGUGCAUCGGACGUGGUACGGACUGAAAAAAGUGCACAUGCUUACUCACGGGGCAAGUAUUCAGGUUUGUUCGUCGUCUGGGAUGCGUCUGACUCGCAGGCUAAGUCUCGACUGGCCGCUGAAAGCUUCGGCUACAACCGUUCGUCGUGGCUCCCACCUUUUCUCGCGGGC